UACGUAGGGUGCUAGCGUUGUCCGGAUUUAUUGGGCGUAAAGAGCGUGUAGGCGGCCCGUGAGGUCUGCUGUGAAAACUCGAGGCUUAACCUCGAGACGUCGGCGGAAACCAUCUGGCUAGAGUCCGGAAGAGGAGAGUGGAAUUCCUGGUGUAGCGGUGAAAUGCGCAGAUAUCAGGAAGAACACCCGUGGCGAAGGCGGCUCUCUGGGACGGUACUGACGCUGAGACGCGAAAGCGUGGGGAGCGAACAGG
rnacentral:rRNA from 1 species